AUUGAACGCUGGCGGCAGGCCUAAUACAUGCAAGUCGAACGCAGUGGGGACGGGUGAGUAACACGUGGGUAACCUCCCAUCAGAGGGGAUAACACUUGGAAACAGGUGCUAAACCGAUACUGAUGGAUGGCCCCGCGGUGCAUUAGCUAGUUGGUGAGGUAACGGCUCACCAAGGCCACGAUGCAUAGACGACGAGAGAAGGGUAUAGGCAACAAGGGGAGUGAGACACGGCCCAGACACCUACGGGAGGCAGAGGAAGGGAAUCUGCGGAAAUGGAGGAAAGGCUGACCGAGCAAGGCGGCGUGAGUGAAGAAGGUUUUCGGAUCGUAAGACUCUUUUGUUAGAGAAGGGGUAUCUAACCAGAAAGCCACGGCUAACUACGUGCCAGCAGCCGCGGUAAUAC
rnacentral:rRNA from 1 species